AGGGCACCACCAGGAGUGGAGCCUGCGGCUUAAUUUGACUCAACACGGGAAAUCUCACCAGGCCCGGACACUGGAAGGAUUGACAGAUUGAGAGCUCUUUCUCGAUUCGGUGGGUGGUGGUGCAUGGCCGUUCUUAGUUGGUGGAGUGAUUUGUCUGGUUAAUUCCGAUAACGAACGAGACUCUGUCCUGCUAAAUAGUUCCCGCGUCCUUUGUUGCGCGGGAAAUUCUUCUUAGAGGGACUGGCGGCGUCUAGCCGCACGAGAUUGAGCAAUAACAGGUCUGUGAUGCCCUUAGACGUUCUGGGCCGCACGCGCGCUACACUGAAGGGAUCAGCGUGUCUUCCCUUCCCGAGAGGGACGGGUAACCCGCUGAACCCCCUUCGUGGUAGGGAUCGGGGCUUGCAAUUAUUCCCCGUGAACCAGGAAUUCCCAGUAAGCGCAAGUCAUAGGCUUGCGUUGAUUACGUCCCUGCCCUUUGUACACACCGCCCGUCGCUACUACCGAUUGAACGUUUUAGUG
rnacentral:rRNA from 1 species